UGCAUGGACUUCGGUUCCCAGAAUUCCCCAGGCAGCAGGAGAUGGGUUCAGCAAGGGGAAAGAGGCACACACAGAGUGUCAGACUGCCAAAUUGUACAAAAAGGGUUCACAAAUUUUGGUAAAGGGCAACCUCGGUGCCCCCUUUUGCCCAGCAGUUCUUGGUCUGUCUCAUACAACGCACUGAAACAGAACGUAAUUAAUUGGAUUUGUUCGAUUAACCGAGGUGAACACGGGCUUGCAUUGUUCCUCCAGAAACAGGCCAGGAUUUAAAUGAGCAACAUCUCUCUUGUCAGUGUUGGAUGGAUGGUUUAUUUCAAGACGUCACUUUACUGGAAAUUGAAUCGCUCAAACCCACUUAAUACAGGUGCCUGUACA